rnacentral:rRNA from 1 species
UUUAGAGUGCUCAAAGCAGGCUCUGAAUGCCUGUAUACAUAUUCAUGGAAUUGGAGAAUACGUCCCUGGCUCGAUUUGGUUGGUUUUGAGAGUCGAAGGGAAAUGAUUAAUAGGGACUGACGGAGGCAUUCGUAUUGCGACGCGAGGGGUGAAAUCCUGUGACCGUCGCACGACGAACUACUGCGAAAGCAUUUGCCGAGAAUGUUUUCAUUAGUCAAGAACGAAAGUUAGAGGUUCGAAGGCGAUCAGAUACCGCCCUAGUUCUAACCGUAAACGAUGUCGACCAGCAAUCCGCAACGGUCACUACAAGGACUGUGCGGGCAGCUUCCCCGGGGAAACCAGAGUUUUUGGACUCCGGGGGAAGUAUGGUUGCAAAGCUGAAACUUAAAGGAAUUGACGGAAGGGCACCACCAGGAGUGGAGCUUGCGGCUUAAUUUGACUCAACACGGGACAACUCACCAGGCCCGGACACCGUAAGGAUUGACAGACUGAUAGCUCUCUCUUGAUUCAGUGGGUGGUGGUGCAUGGCCGUUCUUAGUUGGUGGAGUGAUUUGUCUGGUUUAUUCCGAUAACGAACGAGACUCUGGCCUAUUAAACUUGACGCUGUCAGUCUCUUGUGACUGCGGCGCGCUUCUUAGAGGGAUCAUCGGCGUCCCAGCCGAAGGAAAGGGAGCAAUAACAGGUCUGUGAUGCCCUUAGAUGUUCUGGGCUGCACGCGUGUUACACUGAAGUGGUCAGCGCGCCGUUCAACGUCCCUCUCCGCGAGGAGCGGGCAAACGUUUGAACCCUUUUCGUGAUGGGAAUUGGGGGUUGCAAUUGUCCCCCAUGAACGAGGAAUUCCAAGUAAGCGCAAGUCAUUAGCUUGCGUUGAUUAAGUCCCUGCCCUUUGUACACACCGCCCGUCGCUACUACCGAUGGAUGAUUUGGUGAGGUCGCCUAGACUGGCUGCUGGCUUCGGCCGUGCGGCCGGGAAGACGCCCAAACUUGGUCGUCUAGAGGAAGUAAAAGUCGUAACAAGGUUUCC